UCGUGACCUGACCAAAACAGACCGUGAACCCGUCAUGUUGCCUGCCAGCGGCGGCCCUGCCGUCGCUUGGCCAAAGUCCUCGAUAACCUCCUCUCCUCGGAGCGGGGGCUCGGGGCAAAAGAACCCACGGCGCCGAAGGCGUCAAGGAACACUGUGCCUAACCCGGGGAAGCGGCUGGCUUGCUAGCUGCCCCUCGUGUUGCAAUGCUAUUUAWCCCACACGACUCUCGGCAACGGAUAUCUCGGCUCUCGCAUCGAUGAAGAACGUAGCGAAAUGCGAUACCUGGUGUGAAUUGCAGAAUCCCGCGAACCAUCGAGUCUUUGAACGCAAGUUGCGCCCGAGGCCACUUGGCCGAGGGCACGCCUGCCUGGGCGUCACGCAAAACACGCUCCCACCCCUCAUCGGGUGGUGGGAUGCGGCAUGUGGCUCCCCGUCUCGCAAGGGGCGGUGGGCCGAAGAUGUGGCUGCCGGCGUAUCGUGCCGGACACAGCGCGUGGUGGGCGAACUCGCUUUACUUACCGCAGUGCAUCCGGCCCAUAGCCGACGUGAUGGCCUUAAGGACCCUAUGAACGGAGCGCAUGACGCUUCGACC
rnacentral:misc_RNA from 1 species